GGCCUCGUGGCCCAAUGGCAAGGCGUCUGACUACGAUGGAUUGAUAUCUUAUAUCACAUCAAAAUCAUUGGUAUCAGGAGAUUCCAGGUUCGACCCCUGGCGUGGUCA